AGUGGCGAUCGCUGCAGCGCAAUUUUCUUGACUAGUCUGUAAUAGAUCAUUCAGUACGCUAGAUGUCAUAGUAUUUUCCAGUAGCGAUAACACUGCAAGCGUCGCGAUUUCCGCUAUGCUUUUAUACGCUUCUGCGUGAUUCGUCCCUUCUUAUUUACAUAUGUAUUUACAUUUGUGUUUCCUGCGUACAGAAGUUUCUGAAUCGUCCGCGUAUAAUACCGGAUACAUUUCCAACUGAAAAUUUAUCUUAAAUAUUUACAUUCGAAAUAAGUUUGUGAGACUUCUUUAGAAUUAGCAGCACGGCUAAGGCAGUGAAAGCUUCGCUAACACCUUUCGGCAUGGCAGCGGCAACCGUGAUACCUGAAGCCGAUACAUCAGGCACCGAAAGCAGUACGGCAGACUCCGACGGCCGCAGUUCGGCAUGGAGUGAGUCUCAGCUUCGGAAGUACCCUUUUCAAUGCAAGCCCAUCCCGCGACUCUCUCAUACCGACCCCCGAGCGGAGAUACUCAUAAACAAUGAGGAGCCAGUUGUCCUAACAGAUACCAAUCUUGUGUAUCCUGCACUUAAAUGGGACUUGAACUACCUGAAGGAGAACAUGGGAAAUGGAGAUUUUUCAGUGUAUAUUGCCCAAAACCACAAGUUUCUCUACUUUGAUGAGAAAAAAAUGGUGAACUUUGAAAACUUUGUACCAAUGUCACGGCGUACAGAAAUGAAGUUUUCAGAAUUUGUGGAAAAAGUAGAGGAAAUUGAAGAAUCGGCUGGUGAAGAGAGGGUUUACUUGCAGCAGACACUGAAUGAUACAGUAGGACGAAAAAUUGUUGUGGAUUUUCUGGGCUUCAACUGGAACUGGAUCAACAAGCAGCAAGCCAAACACAACUGGGGGCAGCUAACCUCUAACCUUUUACUCAUAGGCAUGGAAGGGAAUGUAACUCCUGCGCAUUAUGACGAACAACAGAACUUCUUUGCACAAAUAAAAGGUUACAAAAGAUGCAUCCUUUUCCCUCCUGAUCAGUUUGAGUGCCUUUACCCUUUCCCUGUUCAUCAUCCAUGCGACAGACAGAGUCAGGUUGAUUUUGAGAAUCCUGACUCUGAAAGGUUUCCUAAAUUUAAAAAUGUUGUUGGAUAUGAGACUGUGGUAGGACCAGGGGACGUUCUGUAUAUCCCAAUGUACUGGUGGCAUCACAUUGAGUCCUUGUUAAAUGGAGGAGUGACUAUCACAGUCAAUUUCUGGUAUAAGGGAGCACCUACUCCAAAGAGGAUAGAGUACCCUUUAAAAGCUCACCAGAAGGUGGCUAUUAUGCGGAACAUAGAGAAAAUGCUGGGCGAAGCUUUGGGAAAUCCACAUGAGGCCCGGUAUCUUGGUGGUCCUGCAUCGAAUGAGCAGUUCUAGGGACAAUGAAUAUAUGAAUGGCUACACAGAAAGGAACAUGAACUUUUAUUGAAAAAGUGUCAUACGCUCCGUUUACUUGUUGGACCUCUACUGAACACAAUGAUCAAGGGGAGAUAUGAACAGAAUUUCAGCUAGUGCACUGUCAUUGGUUUUGUUCCCUGUGUGCUUUCAUUUCUAUUUUUGUAUGCAUGUAGAAGCUACAAGUGCAUGCACUACUUGAACACAUUUGCCUAUUUAUCAUCUUAUUUGAUUCCAAAAAUGUGUAAAUAUUCCUGAUGUAUGAUUUAAAAUGUCAUUUAUGAUGCUAAGAUAUUACAAGUGAAUGAUGUUUUCAAUAAUGGUUAUUGUAUAGGGUGAGUUGUACUGUAAAUUAAAUAUAGCUUGAAAACUGAAAAUACGCAUCAGAAUUUGGUAAUCAAACAAAAUUUGUGAAAGUGUUAUUGGACUCUUUCUUUGUACAGUGAAAUAUGCCCUAUAUUGCUUUGUUAAUGUUCAAAUAUUGGACAAAGUUAGAAUAAUGCACAUUAUUCAGUAUUAACUUAUGGUCCCAUUUUCAGUUUUUCUUAGUUUUUAACAUAAAUCUUUUUUUUUUUUUUAAUAUAGAAUAUAUUUAGAAAAUGUAAAUGCUCCCUGAAAGUUUUGCUAAGUGUCAAGUAGCAUUUUGUAAUGUAUUUAUUGACUAUGAUGAUGUUGGGAUCCUCUUUACACAUCAUAGUGCAGCAGUUAUACCAAAUAAAGUACUACAAAUUGUAUAGUACUUUAUAAAUGAUCACAGUAUCCAAAUUUCUAAAAAUGACAACACCUGGAGAUGAUAUAGGAAAGUAGGGGCAUGGUGACAUUUACAUGAAUAUUACAUGUUUUGUUUGGUUCACCAGGAAAGUAGGCACAUGUGUUUCAAAACACUGGAUUGAUUUUUUGUAAAUGCCUGUAGUUGAUAUUCAUCAGGUAGUUGAUAAUAUGAAUAUAGCUGAGUAUAUGAAUUUGCAGGUUGUGUGUGUUUUAUAUAUAUUUUUAAACUUAGUUUCAAUCCUCUCCUGACCAUCAUUUAGCAAAAAUCCCAAUUAAAAAUGGCAGUUAAUUGCUUUGUCACUUAA